UAUUUUCCCGUGACCGAAAAUUUCCUCACCCCUCUUCUGUUCUCGCGACGGCGUCGCGACUUCUGCUCGGGCGAAAGAAGCGACGGGGCUAGGUUUUUUCUCUCCGGCGCCGGCGAAGGGCUUUUUCGGCGGGUCCUCAACCGUGUGUGACUACCAUCGUCGAGGAGGAUCUGUGGGCGCAAGAAGAAGCCGAAAACUCAAGUUAUCCGAACCCUAGAAUCCUUCAUAUUCUUCGAUUGUAAGUUAAAGAAGCAAGAUCAGUUGAUAGCAAUUCAUCCUAUUAACAGUACGUUGGUAUCCCUUUGGUAUCUGCAGCAGGCAUGAACAGCCAUUUGGGGCUGAGAAUGAUUCCUUUUGAAGCUUACUGUUAAGUUCUGUUGUGCAUAUUCAUGGGCAAGAACAGCCACCAAUUCAUAGCAGUUUAGAUCCUUUUUGUGUUGAGUUAAUAAAGGGAAAGAAAAGAUACAAUGAAGGAAGGCGACAAGGAGAUGCAAGAGGAGUGUGUGAU